rnacentral:rRNA from 1 species
CCCUUAGAUGUUCUGGGCCGCACGCGUGCUACACUGAGUGGAUCAGCGGGUCAGGUUGCGCGAAAGCGUUUCCUAAUCUUUAAAUCCGCUCGUGAUGGGGAUUGACGGUUGCAAUUUUCUGUCAUGAACGAGGAAUACCUUGUAAGCGCGGGUCAUCAUCCCGUGCUGAAUACGUCCCUGCCCUUUGUACACACCGCCCGUCGCUCCUACCGAUUGAGUGGUCCGGUGAGGCUUUGGGAUCUGAGCGGAAAGAGCGUUUCGCUGUUUCUGCUCGGAAAACUCAGUCGAACCUUAUCAUUUAGAGGAAGGAGAAGUCGUAACA